AGGAUCCGACAGAAUCGAAACAAACGAGAGAACGAAACAGGAGCCCGCGGGCCCCGUUUAUCCCCCUUGGAGGAGCCGCGGCUCGGAGCCAAAUCGACCGAAAGACGCCUCGUGCCCCAGAGUCGGGAAAGAAAAGUCCCAGGCCCCCUGCUUUAUGCUGAAGUCCAGCACCCCCUGGUGCCUCGAGCCCCACCCGCUCCCCCACACGGCACCACGGUCUAUGCCACUAUUGUGUGACCCCCACCUGAGCUGGCUCCGCUCCCCCCUCCUGAGUUGUGUUCACCCCCCGGCUCCGCUCCCAGGUGAUGGGAAAUGCAGCUGGAAGAUGCUAGAAAUCCCUGUUAAAGUCCUGUGGUGGGGAGUUCCCCAGGUUAACGGAUUGUGGCAUUAAAAUCUGAGC